rnacentral:rRNA from 1 species
GUUAAGCGACUAAGCGUACACGGUGGAUGCCCUGGCAGUCAGAGGCGAUGAAGGGCGUGCUAAUCUGCGAUAAGCGCCGGUAAGGUGAUAUGAACCGUUAUAACCGGCGAUACCCGAAUGGGGAAACCCAGUGUGAUUCGUCACACUAUCAUUAACUGAAUCCAUAGGUUAAUGAGGCGAACCGGGGGAACUGAAACAUCUAAGUACCCCGAGGAAAAGAAAUCAACCGAGAUUCCCCCAGUAGCGGCGAGCGAACGGGGAGGAGCCCAGAGCCUGAAUCAGCAUGUGUGUUAGUGGAAGCGUCUGGAAAGGCGCGCGAUACAGGGUGACAGCCCCGUACACAAAAGCGCAUGUGCUGUGAGCUCGAUGAGUAGGGCGGGACACGUGGUAUCCUGUCUGAAUAUGGGGGGACCAUCCUCCAAGGCUAAAUACUCCUGACUGACCGAUAGUGAACCAGUACCGUGAGGGAAAGGCGAAAAGAACCCCGGCGAGGGGAGUGAAAAAGAACCUGAAACCGUGUACGUACAAGCAGUGGGAGCCCCACCACUAAGCCAGUGGUGAACUCCACAUACGCAUCCUUUGCUGAGGAUACGGUUAACGGAGCGAAAGCGACGUUCAACCUCAAAAGAAGCAGAGGGGG